rnacentral:lncRNA from 1 species
CAGCCUCCUCAUCAUCAACAUCUUCCCCGAGCUCUCUUCCUUUCUGUCUCUGUCUCUGUCUCAGUUCUCUGGGAUUAAUUGAGGAUAUGGGCUGUCUGAAGUUUGUCAAGGAUGGAGUAAUCAGGCUGCCUCCUGGUUUUCGAUUUCAACCAACGGAUGAAGAGAUUGUCUUCCAAUAUUUGCUGCGUAAAACAUUUUCUUGUCCUUUGCCUGCUUCAAUCAUUCCUGAGAUCAAUGUCUGCAAGCAUGAUCCCUGGGAUUUGCCGGGUAAUUACCUCGAGAACUCAAUGCUCACUUUGAACUCUUACCAUAACCUUUUCAAUUUUCUUGUUUACCAUGAUUAAGCUGAUUUGAAAUACAACCUCAUCUUAAAUUAUGGAAAAACAAAUGGACUGUCUAGAAUGUCAGUCGAACGUGGGCACAAAGUCUUGCCCUUACUGGUGCUACAAAAUGUAUUAAGCUGCCCGGCUUAUAUAUGGGAAAUGGUAUUUGUCAUAAUUCACAUUUUAAUGCUGCAGCAAUUCUCGUAAAAACGAUAAUACUAUCUAUCCAAGUCAAAGUAGUAGUAUUAUUUGAUUUAACUUGGGAAGGGAAAGAUUGGUAUGGUAUCAAAAACUUGCUGCGGGUAUAUAAAUUUGCUGAUUUUCUUGACCUGCAUGAUAUUUGUAUAGGUGAUUUAGAGCAAGACAGAUAUUUCUUCAGCAACAAGGAAGCCAAGUACCCUAACGGUAACAGGACGAAUAGAGCUACUGAUACUGGCUACUGGAAGGCCACUGGUGUAGACAAACAAAUUGUGUCUUCCAGGAGAAAACCGCUGCUGGGGUUAAGGAAAACAUUGGUAUUCCACAAAGGGAAGUCACCGCAUGGCUCCAGAACGGAUUGGAUCAUGCAUGAAUAUCGCCUUAUCCUCACAGGAAAAACAGCCUGCUGCUCGCAACAAACUGCAAAAUCUUCUCAG